UGGGCGAGGCUGGGCUGUGACAGGGGGCUGGGGAUCCCUGGGGCUGUGAAACACACCAGUCAGUGUUUGAGGUAUUUUGGAAAGCUGCACUGUGCUCAGCUAAAAUGAUGGUUAUCUCACCAGAAAGUGAUUCUCUUUCUUGUUUGUUUAUUUUACCAAAAGCUUAAUGCUUUUAUAUACCAGGACUGGUUUUAUACCUCGCAAGAAUUAGAAAUAUUUGUAGUGGAUUUUCAUUAUUUUUUGGGUCAAGACUGUCAGGCAGAACAGCUGGGAAGGCCAGGGUGUGGUUUUGGAUUAACCCUUUUGCUGCCAGUACAGACCAUCCUCAGCCAUCCCUUGUCUUGGCCAGCCUGGACCUGCUCCAGAGGUGUGGAAACCAGUUCAGGCAGACAUUGCCAGGCAGUGCAGAAACAUCCCAGGGACAGAAGGGACAAGGUUAGUGUCUGUGGGGUUUGGGCUCCCUCCCAUCUGCUGUCAAGGUAAAGUCUCUCCUGACGCUGCAGAGACUUUCCCCAGCAGAAAUUGUGUGUCAAGAGGGGGAGUUAUUGACAGUUCAGCAGGGAUAGAGCAGGAGAGAGAGUAAAUGUUAAAUGCACUUUACUACACAACAAAUUUUCAGUUUAUGGCAUCCCAAUACAUCAAGAAAUGUUGCUCGCUUCUGGCCAGGAAAAUGUCAUUCAUUUUGCUAUUCAUAUUGCUUGGGUAAAAUAAGUGUGGUGCUGAUGGUUAUUUACACCCUGCUGGCACCUCCGGGGGCUUUGGGAAUUCCAGCUGCUGCCUGCCCUGACUGCACUGCCCCUCCUGCCCCCCUGGUGCUGGAAACCUUCCCUCUGGGUGUGAGCUGUGUGCUCGGGGCUGGCUGCAGGGCUCACACAAACCUCUGCAGAGAACAUUUCCAUGUUCACAGGAGCUGGGAUCAAACCCUCCUUUUCCAGUCUAGAAGAUUGUUUGUUAUCUUAUCUUGGUCUUAUCUAGGAGAACCGUUGAUUUCCAACAGAAAAGCCCUCCAGAAUCCAGGAAAACCAAAGGAAGAUUUUGAGCUUUGUGUUUCAGUGAUCACCAAGGAAACUGAAAUCUGCUGGUGGCUGCCCAAGGCCGAGCCAGAGGCUCCACCUGGGACACUGCUCCUCGCCUGGGGCAGGGACAGGCGGCUCAGGUGGUCCCAGCUGGUUCCUCCCUUGGUCUGGAGCCCCCUCUGUGAUCCCUGAGUCAAAAGGUGACUUCCAGCCCUCCAGCCUGGGACUGAAGGAGGCAGGGCAGGAAUUCCAAGGUCCUUUCCUGGCAAGUGACCUGUCCAGGUGCCGAGGUGUCCAGCAAAGGGGACCCAGCUGGGUCUGGCUGCUGCCAGGGGGGCUCAGGGAAGGAAAGCAAACCCUGCUGCCAGCAGCAGCAAUGGGAAAACUGAAGCAAAGUCUCAAAGUGGGAUUUGGCCACAAACUGGGUAAGGGAGCAGCGAAGAGUGAAGGAGCUGUGCCCUGGAGCUGCCAGCCCCUUCCCCUCUGUGCCUCUGCUGGCUCGGGCCAGGCCCUGGCCCCAAACACCCCCAGCUCCGUCCCUGGCCCCAAACAAACACCCCCAGCUCUGUCCCUGGCCCCAAACACCCCCAGCUCCGUCCUGGCCCCAAACAAACACCCCCAGCUCCUUCCCUGGCCCCAAACACCCCCAGCUCCUUCCCUGGCCCCAAACAAACACCCCCAGCUCCCCCCUGGCCCCUCGAUCCCCUUUCCUUUCCCAUCUCUUUAACCCAGAUUUGUGCUGCUGCUGCUGCUGCUGCUGUGACAGAUGCUGAGGGAGGCUGACAGUAUUUCUGGUGUGAAAAGCAGGACUCCUUUGCUGACAAGCUGUUAAAGGAAAGAUUUACUGUUAUGGGGCUGGUUCUCCUCUGGGUGGUUUCUGAGAGGGAAUAACUUUGGCUCUGUUGGCUGGGGACACUGAGGGGAUGUCCCCCUGCCCUGGCCACUCCUGGGAAUCAGGAUGGAGUCCUGCUCCACGCUCCCUCCCCCAGGCAGGCUGGUGGUGUUUUGGGGUGCUCACCCUGCAGGGUUUGUGCUUUUCCUGCUGUGGGAAUAACGGGAUGGGUGGCACUCGUCAAUCCAGGCCACCUCCCCAGCCUUCAGCCAGCAGCUUUUUGUUCUUCAGAGACACUCUGGGGACUGAAGGAUCUUUUUGACCAUUUACAGAACUUACAGAGCUCUGCAGCUCCACUUGCCAAUAUUCUCCUGCAGUGUGGCUCCCUCCUGUACCACAUUCCUGAUGUUUUCCAUUGACCAGGAUCAAUAGGAGCCUGAAUGAGGAGACCGAUAAACAAAAGUGUAUCUGGCUAACGAGGGGUAAAUGGCUCUUCAGAGCAAGUUUUCCUCAUAAAGUCCUACUCGUCCCUGCAUUUUUUCAUGUUUUGGCUCCAUCUUCAGCUCUGCAUGUUAUCCCCUCACCCUGGAUGUAUCUGGACUCUCCAAGCUCUCCUCCACGUGCUUUCAGCGUUCUGCAGCGUCAGAUGUUGCUCACAGCUGUAAGAGCAAUUACCUUUUAUACUUCUUUAAAGGCAGAGCAAUUGAGAGCAUUUCCAUCUGCAGGAGGAGGCGCUGCUGGAGGGUCCCAGCCCCGGGGGGAGCUGGUUCUGGCUCUGCUGGGGGAGUUAAUGAGCCCCUCUCCAGCGCAGCCUUCACACGCUCCACGCCGGGCCGUUAUUAUUCACACCAAUCUGUCUUUCACAUCAUCUUCCAUACACACUCCAGAUUAAAUUUUCGUCAUUAUCAUGAUAGAACUGGAUGAAUAAGUGGCACAUCUGUUCAUGAAGUGCUUUAUUAUCUGUUCUGAUGAGGUUUUGGAUGAAUAGCGGGAUGACUUAAAUACAGAGCAGAGAAACGCGCACAGGUUUCUGCAGAAUCUUAAAUUCAUGGCCAGUAGUGCCAACUCAAGGCAUCUGAUUUUACACAGAAGAGGUAAUUAUUAAUUAGUGAUUUGGGCCCAUCUAUCAUGAGGGCUAACUUAACGAAGUGACAAGAGGAGACAGAGCAAACCUGACUGUGGAACAGCAUUAAUGAAGCCCCACACAUUGUUAAACUGGUUCUUGUUCCAUCACUGCAAAGGAAAACUCCAUAAAUAUUUUAUAAACACUCCAUUCUGGCCAUGUAAAACCAAAUUGCACCAAUAAAUCUAUUUAUCCAGAAGUUAUUUCCUAAUCU
rnacentral:lncRNA from 1 species